AAAAUUAGAGUAGUAAUAGUAAUGUUCUUGAAACUUAAAAAAUUUGGCGGUAUUUUAUUCUAUUCAGAGGAACUUGUUUUAUAAUUGAUAAUCCCCAUUGUAUCUUACUUAAAUUAGUUUAAUUUGUAUAUCGUUGUCAUAAGAAUGUCUUUAAAAAGAAAAAAUUUUCUAACUUAAAAAUAAUUUAUAAUGUCAGAUCAAGGUGCAGUUUAUAUUUAAGAAAAAAUGAGUUACAAUUAAUUUAUUAAUAUGGAUUAAGUAUUUAAAUAUAUUUAUUAAGGUGGAUUUGAAUGUAAAUUUUUAUAGAAAGUAAAAUUGAUUGUAGUUUUAAAAUGUGC
rnacentral:rRNA from 1 species